UAUGUUUUUCUUUAUUCUUUGCUUUUCGGGUGUAACCGAAUAUAUAUACUUUCGCAAAAAAGGCUCAAAUGUGUGAAAACAUUUUUAAAUAUUGGUAAAGGUUAGUCUAGUAGAUCAAUGAGCCACACAUAGACUAGUUUUGGGCCUUUGCGAUUCCAGAUUUAGUGCCGUUUUGUAGUGAGUAGUCAUCUUAUGGGAUGCCUUCGCUUGACGCGAAUUUUAAAAGGUUAUGUGGCUUCACUAGCGAUACCUCUUCCAUAUUAUCAUACUCUGGCCUCACACAAAAUGCUAGAGGCCUUGUGUGCAGUCAUCUCUAUCCGUCAGCCCCAUUCUAUAGGCACGUGCCGUCAACAGCCAAUGAGUAUUCCAACUAUACUCCUACUGUGCCUUCUAUCCAGUGAUAGUACGAAUUUUGUGUAUGACUGGUCUCCCACUUUACACAUGGCUUGUUCCAAAACAUUUUUUGCCGAAAUGCAGGUUUUCUGUUUGAAAGGCUACCUUACGAUUAUCUCCGAUCAGUAUAUCACCGCAUCUACUGCGUUCUCCAUUUUCCAGUCAUUCGUAUUGUAGAAGUGAAGCACUGGCAUACUUUCGUGCCUAAAUUAUAACCUGAAUGUGAGAACGAAAACACACGAGAUUCGUUAAACGUUAUAAAAUUUUCAAUUGUAUUUCUAAUUUUUUCGUGUUUGAAACAAUUUGAUUAUUACAAACCUUUGAUAAAACUAGUAAAGAAAGGCUAAGUUCUACAUAAAGUCCAAUCAUUAUAUAUAGUAUAAAACAUAAGGGCUGAGGUAAUUCCUCAACCGAUUUCACUCAUUUUCACCAUCAAUGUAUACUAUCUAUUAUAAGGGAUGGAAUCAGAUGGAAUGCAAAAUUGAGUUAUAUGGGCAGUAGGCGUGGUUGUGAACCGAUUUCAUCCAUUUUUCAUACGUGUUAUAAGGGUGUCAAGACAUUGAAAUCGGUCGAGUAGUUCCUGCGAUAUGCAUUUUGACGCAUAAGUGGGCAGUGCCACGCCCAUUUUCCAGUUUGUAACAAAAUCUGAGUGCAGCUUCUUUCUGCUACUUCUUCUGUAAAAUUUUGUGUUUCUGAAGUUUAUCGUUAGUGAGUUAAGUCACUUUUAGUAAUUUUCAACAUAACCUUUGUAUGGGAUGUGGGCGUGGUUAUUAUCCGAUUAUACCAUUUUUUGUGUGUGAUGGGGUACGUAAGGAAAACGAGUGUAGGAAGUUUGGUUUAUGCAGCUUUAUUAGUUUGCAAGAUAAAUAAAAAAACGUAUUUAGGGGCGGGGCCACGCCCACUUUUCCAAAAAAAAUCCAUUCAGUUAUUCCCCUUACUAGUGCGAUUCUUUAUGCCAAAUUUUAUUAUUUUAUUUAUGGCUUAGUUAUGACACUUUAUAAGUUUUCGGUUUUCGCCAUUCGCCUAUUUUCAAUACCAACCUCCUCAGGGUGCCAAGUAAUAUAUGUACCAAGUUUCGUCAAGAUAUCUUCAUUUUUACACAAGUUAUCGCUUGCACGGACAGACGGAAGGACUGACAUCCGGAUUUCAACUCUACUCGUCAUCCUGAUCUUUUUGAUAUAUAUAACCCUAUAUCUAGCUCUUUUAUUUCUAGGUGACACAAAAAACCGUUAAGUUAACAAAACUAUUAUACUCUCUUUAGCAACUUUGUUGCGAGAGUAUAAAAAGUGAUUUUGAAUGAAGGUGAUUCACUAUACACACACACAGCGCGCGUUAGGAGUUAUGCGUAUUAUUGUUGUUGUCGACGGACGAACUCCGAGUCCUUAUAGGCCUGAUGAUUACCUCGGAAAAAACAAUUGAUCUCCCUGGUUCAUUGUCAGAAGCGGAAAAGAUGUCGAACGUUCUGGUUCACUGAUGGCAUCGAAUGAGGAAGAUCCGUUCGGAUCUAUGCCUUUUAAUGGUUUUGGUGGUGAAUACCGGAGUAGACUCGUUGAUGAUCGUGUGGUUGUUGUGUUGUAGGAUGAGCGGUAUUAGAUGCUGUGUAUGAUACGAGAGUUUGUAGUGGUGUGCUUGUAAUCUGUUGUAUGAUGAUGUGUUGUGAUCUGAUGUGUAACUCGUAUCGUGUGUGUGUGAUGUUGUUGCAGGUUCAUAAGUCAUGUGAACACGUAUAUAUAUUUAAUGUGUUGCAUGAGGCUGCCAUACCUGAUAGCCAUCUUUUCCUAGGUUUCUUUCCCAGUAGAGAAGUGGGAUGAAGUUAUUGGACUGACGGUCAGACAGCCCCAAGUCGACAUUUCGUGACGGAGCAGCUCUCCUUUGGUCACAUCGUCCAUCUGUUCCCUUGGGGCGAUAUGUUGAAGAACCUCGCUGUUAUGCGGAUUGUAGCUAGACUUUCAUCCACCGGGAUGAAUGCGAGGACUCGGCGACGUAGUUUCUCUCCCUCCACAAAUCCAACACCAAAUUUGCACCCCUUUAUGUGGCCGCUGUAGUAAAUGUCACAUCGAGCUACCUCCGUCCUUGUCCCAUACAUCGAACUUCUUGCAUGGCGGUCAGCCUUUAGUUUUAUGAGAACAUCAAGCAGCUGGAAAGGGGCACCUUCCCAAUAAAGGGUCCGGACAUUCCAGGUGCAUGCCCUCAAAUCAUGAUCCUUAAAACAUUUGCAGGGGUCGUCAUAAAGAGGGGGUUUCAAAUUCGAGGCUUUAAUCGAUUUUUUCAUUGGGUGAUUCCCAAACCCUAUGCACAACCGUAGAAGCUGGUCCGCCUUCUCACUUCAACACGCAUCCAAAGGACUGUUUGUUAGCUACCCAGAGGAUACUUAGUCUAAAUCCGGAAGUCAUGAGUUGCUUGAACCUUGUGGAGAAAAUCGUUUCUGGCCACUCCUAAAUUAAAAAGCAGUGCUCACUAUCUCUUUUUUAGAUUAGAGAGCUUUCAACCUGUACGGACGUGUAUUUGAUGCGCUCCGUGAUUAUUCUCUAAAACCAAAAAUUAAAAUAAAAUACGUAAAAACAAAACAAUUUAAAAAGUGCAUUAAGCCAAGCGUUAGUCAAUAACGCCGAAUGUGUUAGCAAAACAAAAAAAUCACAAAAAUAAAAGUAUACAAACAAUAAUAUAUACUAAAUAACAAAUUCUAAGUGCGAGAAAUAAACCAUAAACAAUAACAUGAGCGCUGCGCAGUCAACAACGGCCAGCAACAAACAUGAACGCACCAACAAGUAAGCAGGUACCUGCAAGCGAGCAGACAGCCAAGAAAAGUAUAACGCAAGGUGAGAAUGCACAUACCAAAAAAGGUCCAUCUGUUCAGAUUGGCAUUGACCGCUACGUUAAUAUUAAAAGGAAAUUAAGUCCUGUGAAGUCAGCGAUCAAUCCUAAAAAAUUUCAAGGCGGCACGCCAAUCAAGAAUAAACCUGAUGUUUUAAAUGGCAACAGAUUUGCCGUACUAAGCAAUGGUUCUAAUGAUAAUGCGAAGGGUACCACCACAGUCGCAUAUGCCAAACCGCCCCAAUAUAUUUGCGCGAGCGUAGCUCAAAUACUCUUGUUGCUAAAUUAAGCGAAAUUAAUUAAAAAAUAAAGUGCCACAACCCAUGUUUAGAAUUGAAUUGAUGCCGAAUUCUAACCAGCCUAAAAAGAACGAAGUGCAUCCAAUAUAUAAUUUAAAAUAUUUGCUGCACCGUAGAGUAACCGUAGAAGAACCACACAAAAGAAACGGUCCGGUACAAUGCACCAACUGCCAAGAGUAUGGGCAUACCAAAUCAUAUUGCACUCUACGCAGUGUUUGUGUGGUAUGGGGAGAUUUACAUCCCACUUCAAAAUGUAUCCUCAAGAAAGAGGAUUUAAACAAAAAAUGCAGCAAUUGUGGAGGAAGUCACACUGCCAACUAUAGGGGUUGUCCUGUUUAAAAAGAUUUGAAAUCGAAGUUGUCACAGGGUAUUCAAGCCCGACGUAACCAAAUGUUACAUUCUCCCCGUAAUGACAAUAUAGAUAUCACAGACCAUAUUCCAAAAUCUAGUAAUAUUAAAAAUAAUACUGUACAAGGGACCUAUGCCAAUGUUGUAAAAGGAAACAAUGUACAAAUGAAACCACCGCAAAAUCCCCCAAAUGGUGGUAUUGAAACCAUGAUUAUAAAUCUUACACAAUGUAUGACCCAAUUUAUGUCUACUAUGCAAAACAUGAUCCAAAUCCAAAACCAAAAAACCAAAUGCUGCAAACUUUAUUAAGUAAAAAAUGAGCAUACUAAACAUUUUUAUAUGGAACGCUAAAGGUGUUAACCAACAUAAACUAGAGAUUAUUAAAUUUCUGUCUGAAAAAAAUAUAGAUAUAAUGCUAAUAUCAGAGACUCAUCUGACAAACAAAAACAAUUUUAAAAUACCGGGAUUUAGACUGUAUGUUACAAAUCACUCGGACGGAAAAGCACAUGGCGGAACGGCAGUGUUGGUUAGAAAUAGAUUAAACCACUAUGCUCGGGAAUCUUAUCCUACAGCCCAGUAACAAGCUACUACAAUAUCCUUAAAAAAUCGGGAUUGUGAUUUAAAUCUAACGGCUAUAUACUGCCCACCUCGUUUUAAAAUUACAGAUAGCGAAUUUAAAGACUUUUUUGGAACGCUAGGUCAUAGAUUUCUAGCAAGUGGAGAUUAUAAUGCAAAACACAUGUACUGGGGUUCACGUCUUAUUAAUCCGAGAGGACACCAGCUGUACCAAACCAUUAUGAACCACAAUAACAUUGAUAUAAUAUCUCCUGGCAAGCCCACAUACUGGCCCAGUGAUCGCAACAAAAUACCAGAUUUAAUUGAUUUCGCUGUAACCAAAAAUAUAGAUAGAUCGCUUGUGACAGUUGAUACAUGUACAGACUUAUCUUCUGAUCAUUCACCUGUACUAAUAAAGUUGUGUGAACAAUCCAUAUUCGUUGAGCCAAAAGUGGGUCUAACAUCUCACAAAACGAACUGGUUAAAAUAUAAAAAAUAUGUGAGUAGCCACAUUAAUAUUGGUUUAAAAAUAGAUACGGAAAGAGAUAUUGAUGAAAGUAUAAGAGAAUUUAAUUAUGUAAUAUCAAAUGCAGCUGUCGUAGCAACACCAAACAGAAAUAAUAAACCAAUUAGCCGCAGAAAAAUCACUAAUAAUGAAAUAGAAAAGCUUGUAAAUGAAAAAAGGCGCGCUAGACGUGAAUGACAGUUAUAUCGCUCCCCUUCUACUCAGCUGCAACUAAAAUAUGCUGUACGAAAACUAAAAACAGCGCUUAAACGUCAGGAAGAAUACCACACUCACAAUUAUAUAAAGAAACUGUGUCCAAACUCAAACAAACGAAAUUCUCUUUGGAAAGCCCAAAAGUCAAUGAAGCCUCCAGUCGACUCCAACUUGCCUAUAAGAGGCUUGGGUGGAAACUGGGCACGAAGUGACGAAGACAAGGCAAAUUGUUUUGCAAAUCACCUAGAAAAGGUAUUUCAACCUAAUUGCCCAAAGAACAGCUAUAAGCUGCCAAUCAUCUCCAAUAGCGCUAACGAGUCGCUUGAAUCUAUUCAAACGUCAUCUUCUGAAAUUAUUAAAAUCAUAAAAGAGCUGAAUCCAAAAAAGUCGGCAGGACACGAUAAAAUUACUCCUUAAAUGCUAAUUGAAUUACCAAAUAUUGCUGUAGAGGUGCUCUCUUUAACGCUAUUCUCAGUUUCGGGUACUAUCCAAUUUCAUGGAAAAAGUCGCAGAUCAUCAUGAUAGACAAACCAGGUAAAGACUUGACACAGCCGUCUUCAUACAGACCAAUCAGUUUUCUACCCUGUCUUUCUAAAAUAUUUGAAAAGGUGUUACUAUCAAAGAUAUCUCCUUUCCUCCAUGAAAAAAAUGUAAUACCAACGCACCAAUUCGGUUUUCGUGCAAACCAUAGCACUGUAGAACAAGUAAACAGAAUUACUAACGAAAUCAGAAGGGCGUUCGAGUAUAGAGAGUACUGUUCUUCUAUAUUUCUAGAAGUGGCUCAGGCGUUCGAUAAAGUGUGGCAUGACGGGCUUUUAUAUAAGAUUAAAAAAGCUUACCACUCGAACUGCAUAAAAUCUUGGAGUCUUAUUUAAAAAAUAGAAAGUUUACUGUCAAAGUAGGAGACUUCAUAUCUGAAGAACGACCAAUAAGAGCUGGUGUACCGCAGGGCAGUGUUUUAGGGCCAACUCUAUACAUAAUAUAUACAGCAGACCUUCCAACAGCUAGUAAUGUUUUGACAUCAACUUUUGCGGAUGACACAGCUUUAGUGACCCAAAACAAAUGCCCAAUUAUAGCAUCAAGAGUGAUAGAAGAGCAUUUGAUUUUUGUCGAAGAAUGGCUAGCCAACUGGCGUAUAAAUGUAAAUGAACAAAAGUGCAAGCAUGUUACAUUUUCCCUAAGACCAAAAACGUGCCCGGCAGUUAAAAUGAACAAUAUUUCAGUACCCCAAGCGUCUGAAGUAACAUAUUUUGGUAUUCACUUGGAUAGAAGGCUCACGUGGAGAAAACACAUAUCGAGCAAAAUAACCUGCAUGAAGAUAAGAGCUGCAAAAUUAAAUUGGCUUCUAAACAAAAAUUCAAAACUUAGCCUAGACAACAAAGUUCUGUUAUAUAACGCGGUCAUAAAGCCGAUUUGGAUGUACGGCAUUCAACUGUGGGGUAGGACCUGUGCUACCAAUAUCGAUAUAAUUCAGAGAUUCCAAUCAAAAAUGCUUAGAACAAUCACGUGCUCACCAUGGUACAUGCGUAAUGAAAAUAUCCAUAAAGAUCUUGGUAUUCUCAUGGUAAAGAAAGAAGUAGAGAACAGCAGAAACAAAUAUUUAGCCAAACUCCGAGAUCACCCAAACCCAUUAGUAAAUUCUUGUAAUCAAUCACGUCUAAAAAGGAGAGAUAUGCCAGCACACUGAAGAGCAACGUUUCACCAAAACAUCUCAAUACCUUGGUUGAGCUGGUAUAGUUUUAAUUAGAAUUAAGAUUUUAUAACUUAUUGUUAGGCUUCAAAGAGCAGAUUCAAUAAAUAAACAAAUGUUGAAAAAAAAACUAAGUAAUAGUUUGAUAAUAAACAUAAACAUAAUAGGAAAGUAAAGGUGAAGUUCGGGUGUAACCGAAUAUUUUAUACUCUCGCAAUUUAUUUGUUUAAUGUUAUUAAGAUAACACACAAGUUGCUCCGUAUUUUCGGCAUAAAGUCCACUAGAAUAACGAAAAUCAUUAAAUAUAGUAUAUAGGGGCUGAGUUAAUUCCGGGUCUCACUUAAUUUUAUUAAAAUAUCUCACAUAUUGACCAAUAUAUAUGGUAUAGAGUCCACCCGAUCACUAAAAACCUUAAUAUUAGCUGCAUGGGGGCUAUUUGAAGUUAUGGCCUGAUUUCACCCAUUUUUGGUACAGACACACACCAUUAGAAGAAGAGUAAUUCUUUUGAAUAAAAAUAAAUUAUCUGAAAGAUUUACCGAUAUAUUCGAUGAAAAAUUACCCUUAGACAAUGAGUUCUACAUUUUCGAUAUCCGGGGCCCUGAAAAUUUGGGGUCCUAUUGCGAGAGUUUCUAAGAGAGUGAUCAGCUCAUUUCUUCUUUAAAAACUCUUGUUUCAGACGUCUACUUUGGCUAGGAUAUGUUGUUCGAAUGGACGAAAGCUUUAAAAGUGUUCGGCACAGUACCCGCUGGAGGAAACCGCGGAAGAGGAAGAAUUCUACUCCGUAGUGAAACCAGGUGAAAAGCAGCUUGGCUUCACUUAGUAUUUCCAGUUGGCACCAAAUAUAUAUAUAUGUAUAUAAGCUUAGUUUAUAUAUAUUAUUCAGUUUUCGAGAUAUAUACAAAAAAGGUGUGUGGAGUCCCUACGCGCGGAAGAAGUUAUACUCCUUAGUGAUAUUCCAAGAAAUGCAUAUCAUUUUGUAUGAAAGAAAACUAGCGAGAGGGAAAGGAUAAAAAUAUGGUGGAGUGACCAAUACUUUCUUAAAUUCACAUUUUAUAAAGCAAAGUCCAAAUCAAUUAUCAUGUCUGGGUUCUGAUGGAUUGAUAUCUAUAAUAUUUACAAUUGGAUUAUGAUAACUAAAAUACGAUAUGAAAUGUCUUACAUCUAUUUUAUCUAUAUUUCUCGCGAAUACCGCAUCAAUAGUCGUACCUCCUUUUGUCGCAGGAUCAUUUCUUCCAUUGAUCAUAUCUAAUGAAUAUUUCUCUCUGAGGAAUGCCAGUAGUGGUUCAGCUUCUGGCAAUGAGAAAUUUACAUUGUUUGUUCGCUAUACUCAACUGGUGUUCCGAUAAUAUCUGCAAAAGCUUGCGAACCUGCAGUUGACAUAUUGUUGCUUUUACACUAACAAAAUAUACACCGAAUUUGCAAUUGCAAAUAUGCAAGACCAUUUGCACCAGAUUGUGAAUUGCCCUACUGUACUUAUUAACUGCAUUAUUAUAUAUAAUUAUUUGUAUAAAACUUUGAAAUUUAUUCAUUAAAAUUACCACUCAGAAGUUGUUUUAUACUAUGUUCACAUAUAAGCAGGUUAGCUAGGUUAACUAGGUUAUCUUGUAACCUACCCAUAAAAUGCGAGGUUAGCCAUAUAAUUUGUAUGAAAAGAUAACCUCGGUCUGCUCUAUAACCUACGCGGUUAUUUUAUAACCUUCUAAAAUAUGCAUUGUUGCAUUGGAAAGCAGUCGAAAUGUACUCGAAAUUGCGACACUUCAGUAUCUAUUGUGAAUAUUUUUGCUUAAAUUUGACAGCAACUGACAAAAAAUUCGCAGGAAUUUAAAAAAUGGAUCAAAUAAAUCGGUAAGCAUAAAUUAUAUAUUUUUAUUUUUUAUGCAUACAAAUAUACUUAUAUAUAAUAAUUUUAUUAAAUUGUAAUUAGGAAAAGGAAAAACCGUGUUAGAUGGACAGUAGAUGCCGAGAAAUUGCUGCUAUUGCACUGGGCAGAUAAUAUAGACGAAUUACGAAGCGCGAAAAAAAAAUUUCAUAUCUUUGCGCGUUUGGAAAUGGAGUUUUCAAAAAGGCAGAUGAACUACAGUGCAGCAGAAAAAAAGGAAAAAGUGCAUAAUUUUACCAAUCGAUACAAAUUAGAAAAGAAUGCGGUGGGUAUGACUGGUGGUUCGCCUUCCUCUUGGAUCCACUACAAGGAGGUGGAAGAAAUAGUCAGUGCUAAUAAGGCAGUAAAUUUCAAAGAACUCAUGCAAGAGAGUAUAGAUGUGGAACCAGAAGACAAAAUUGGUUGCGCUGCUAUCUAUCCUUCGACGAGCAGCCAAUCCCAAUUAAUUUCAAGCGAUGAGCUUGCAGGACUUUCGACGACUCCGGAGUCUGCAAAAAGAAGGAAAUUAACCCAUGAGCGUUUAAUAGAGAAUUUGGAAAAAACAGAUAUGUUUGAGAAAGAAAUGGAGUCCAUGAGAGGGGUACAAGAAAGAAUGAUGGAACUAACCGAAAAAGCAGUUCUUUCGGAAGAGAAAAGGAAUGAUAUUUUAAAAGAAAUGAGUGAAAAUACGAAAAGUUUUUAUAAAGACCUUAUUAAUUUGUUAAAUGAAAAAUAAAAAUAAUUACAAAUGUAGAACAAACUUACAAAAUGA